rfam:Glycine soja cultivar W05 scaffold1509_62, whole genome shotgun sequence.
GGUUCUAUGGUGUAGUGGUUAGCACUUUGGACUUUGAAUCCAGCAACCUGGAUUCGAAUCCAGGUAGGACCU